GGAAGAAAUUAUUCAGACCUGAGCACCUGCUAUAUUCCAGUCCCUUUGUGUGAACAGGGUUUCAUUCCUCCUCUGCAGUCCAGCGAGGGAACAGAAAAAUUCAAUAUAUAGCAGGCAUUGUGCUGGGGAAACGGACAAAGUGCGCUUGGAAUCCAGAUCAGUGCCUGAUGGAGUGGGGAAGAGAUUUCUCAGAGGUUCACUUUUGAUGUGGCCUUAAAAAGGAGUGGUGGAUUGUCAGCCAGAAAAGGAGGAGAGAACUUUCAAGGCAGCAGGCAUGAACACCCCAAAAGCAUUGCAGAAGAAAGAGGGGGAGUGUUCCAGAAGAGGUGUUGGGAAGAUUGGGGACCUCACAUCAUGGAUCACAGAGCAUGACUAAUGUACCUGCAGUAGGGAGAAACAUGAAGAGGAAGACAAUAGAGUUUGGAUGAGCUGCUGCCCAGAGCCCUUUGUUUCUGUCCUCAGGUAAAAAU
rnacentral:lncRNA from 10 species